rnacentral:rRNA from 1 species
GACGAACGCUGGCGGCGUGCCUAAUACAUGCAAGUCGAGCGAAGUUUUUCUGGUGCUUGCCCUAGAAAAACUUAGCGGCGAACGGGUGAGUAACACGUAAAGAACCUGCCUCAUAGACUGGGACAACUAUUGGAAACGAUAGCUAAUACCGGAUAACAGUAUUUCUCGCAUGAGAGAUAUUUAAAAGUUGGUUAUGCUAACACUAUGAGGUGGCUUUGCGGUGCAUUAGCUAGUUGGUGGGGUAAAGGCCCACCAAGGCGACGAUGCAUAGCCGACCUGAGAGGGUGAUCGGCCACACUGGGACUGAGACACGGCCCAGACGCCGACGGGAGGCAGCAGUAGGGAAUCUUCCGCAAGGGGCGAAAGCCUGACGGAGCAACGCCGCGUGAGUGAAGAAGGAUUUCGGUUCGUAAAGCUCUGUUGUUAGGGAAGAAUGGAUAUGUAGUAACUAUACAUGUAAGAGAAGGUACCGAACCAGAAAGCCACGGCGAACUACGU